rnacentral:tRNA from 1 species
UGCGCUGUUGGCGCUGGCACGCCAGGGGCUGGCCGCGCUGCCGUCGCCGCUGACGCCCGGCACGCCGUUGCGGCUGCCGUUCGGCGGCGCGGCGCGG